AUCUUUCUAGUAUUAAAUUAGCACAAGUGACUUCCAAUCAUUUAGUCUUGGUUAAAUUCCAAGGAAGGAUA
rnacentral:tRNA from 1 species